rnacentral:rRNA from 1 species
UAAGGAAUAUUGGUCAAUGGACGCAAGUCUGAACCAGCCAUGCCGCGUGAAGGAUGAAGGUCCUCUGGAUUGUAAACUUCUUUUAUCUGGGACGAAAACGGGAUUUUUAUCUCAAUUGACGGUACCAGAGGAAUAAGCACCGGCUAACUCCGUGCCAGCAGCCGCGGUAAUACGGAGGGUGCGAGCGUUAUCCGGAUUUACUGGGCGUAAAGGGCGUCUAGGUGGGACGUCAAGCGGGGUGUGAAAGCUCCUGGCUUAACUGGGAGAGUGCGCUCUGAACUGACGACCUAGAGGGCAGGCGACGGAGGUGGAAUUCCCGGUGGAGUGGUGAAAUGCGUAGAGAUCGGGAGGAACACCAGUGGCGAAGGCGGCCUCCGAGCCUGAACCUGACGCUGAAGCGCGAGAGCGUGGGGAGCAAACG